UUUUUUUUUUUUUUUUUUGGUCAGUUGUGGUUAGACCUCGAAACAGAGACAAGCCAGUGUGGAGAGCUGCGAGAGCCCAAGAGUUAAAGUAGUAAUGCUUAGUGCAGCUGAGACUUAUCUUUGAUUUUCACAGUUUUUUGGAUUUAGUUAUUUCUUCUAUUUAUUUCCAGUGUCAUUUUUCUGCAGUUUUUUUGCCAGCCCUUCACUUUACAUAUUGCUGCACGGGAUGGUCGGUUUCCACUGGUAAAUAAAUAGACCUGGACUGCAUGAGUGGAUUUUUGUUUCAGCUUUUGGGCCUUAGCCACUCGGCCAACCUUACAUGGAGAAACACUCGCUGGGUCGUCACAUUUAAAAAGAAAAAAACUACAGAGUCAGACAGUCGUGUAAUUGAUCGACGAAACUCCCAGUGUCCUUCUGAUUUGGACAAACGUGUUUCUGAUGAACUUGUAGGCCUACACUUCAGAUCUGACCGGCGUGCGUCUCCACGCAGCCACUAAAACACUGAUGGAUUGUGGAUUACAGCCAACAGAAGCACACAGAGACGCCUGGACAUGCUGGCACUUACAGACAUGAAAUAUAAAGUCGCCCUGAAGUUGAUGACUUCAAAGACCUCUUAUCGAAAAGGCCCAAGAAACCAGAUGGUUAAAGGACAUUACUUGAAGGCUGCUUUCGUGCCUGCAGUGAACCCUGAGCUCUUCAGUUCCUUCCAUUACCAAUUGGGAAGAAGACAUGCUGAAAGGACAUUUCUUGGAGGUUGCUGCCAUCAUGACUGCAGUUUAUCCUGAGCUCCUCAGUUCCCUCUUUUAAAAUAAAGAAGACUGCUGAAAGGUUACAUUCACAAGGACCUUGACAAGGCUGUCACUCCGCCUACAAGGUCCACUCAGGUACAUUGUUUCACACCAUGUCCUCCGACUACAUGGUUUAGCCAUACAUUGCGUCAGACCACGUCCUCUGCCUACAUGGUCUACCCAGAUACAUUUGCGUUAGACCAUGUCCUCCACCUACAUGGUCUACAAAAUAAUUCUAAUUGGCAAAAUGAAAGCAAUAAAUCUGAAACCUGCUCGUGUGAUAUUGCAUGGUUUCUGUUUUUUUGGGAAACUAAAUACUAUGUUUGACAGUAACAAAACACUGUUUACCAUUCUCAUGACCCGUUUAACAAAUGUAGUCAAAAGGCUUUCCAAUUCCACCAACAGCAAAAAAAGCAAUGCAAAUUAAACAUUUAACAUCUAAUUAUGUUAUUUAUACAAGUGGAGACCUAGAUUCACCAAGUUCUCACAUAAAGGAUAUUUGUUUUCCAGACAAUAUCUCUGAAUAAUCAUUUGUCUAGUAAACUGCUCUGAAACAUUGAUCAAACAAGGAGUUGUUUGGCUUUCCCAUUGGCAAGAAUCAUAUCUGUACUGGGAAUCAGGCCGUGUUUCAGCUGAGACAGCUAUAGGUCUCAAGGUCAGCCACUUUUCAAUCACAGGACAAAGCCUGUUACUCAUGCUACACACACACACACACCCCACUUGAUCAUUUUCUAAGUUCCCAAAUCUUUUGUUUCGUGAGCCUGUUGGAGGUUGAUUUGAACAAAUGUUUUGAGCAAUUAAAAAAAAUCCUUACUAUUUAUGGAUGGAUGUAUGGAUUUAGGGUUGAGUUUCUAGAAGGAUCUAAAACAAAAUUCAUCUCAAAGUGUCUAAGGAGGGACACAACCUAUUACUGUUCACUAAUCUUCUGCUAACACAUCUUUAACAACUAAGAUGAUUCAGUGGACGUUGUCCUGGUCUUUUAAGUGCACAAAUUUUAACCUUCUGCCAUUGUUCCUUUAAUUGGGAACUAAUGUUGUACUUUUUCUUCUCUUUCAUGCAUCCAUGGCUGAGUCCUACUCUGAAAGAUGUGCCAGCAGCUAGCCACCCAUGAUCUUACAAGCAGCAAGUGGAAGCUGACUAUACUAUAUUAAUGUUAACAAUUUUGAACUUGAUUUGCUUUAAUUACAUUAAAGAUGUUGUAAAUACUUAACUGAAUCUUUGUAUUAAGUUCAAUUAGCAUUAUACUUGUUUAUUCCUUUCCCCCUAUGUGUUUAAGUGGAUUGUGUGUGUGUGUAUAUAUAUAUAUAUAUUAUCAACACACUCCAGGUUUACUAUUUUGCAUUUGUGUAACAUUUGCUACUUUGUUCAUUUCAGUAGUAAAUAAAGUGACAAUUUUUGCUUUACA